UCAAAGGCCAGCACUAGGAUGGGAACAAGAUGCCCACAAGAAGUUUUUGCCCUGCUGUGGCAACUUAUAAAAUACACAGAACCGUCACAGGGUCAUAAAGGAAUAAGAGCCCUGGUUACUUUUACGGAACGACUGUUCCAGACUCUAUCCAAGAUGUGUCCAAUGUUGCUGUGUAUUUGGAGCGUUUCUGCGGGAAGACCGACUUCAAACAGAAUUCCCAUUUUGAAUACAGCGUUCAAGUUCAAGUUGAUUGGGCUUAUCAUGGUCAACAAGGCUGUGCAAAAGACCGGGCAUGCAAAAUGAUUCCUGAAAGGAAGCGCCUUCACUCUGCAUCAGCUUAAAAAGACAUGUUUUACAGCCUACAUUGCAAUUCAUCUCAACCUAAGGGAAAGAGGAUGAGUUUGCUUCCUCCGAGCCUGACACAAAUGCAGGAUGACCUCUGGCGAAGCAGCCUGAGCAGGGACUGAGCGGAAAAGAUGAUGACUUUGCAGCUCCCCUGAGACCAGACUGAAGAGUCCUUGCUUCAGGGGGAAUGGGCCCCUCUCAGCAGGCAGACACUCCAGGGGCAGAGGACAGUCCUGACUGGGUGUCCCGCAGCAGGGGAAAUGACACAGCCCUACCCAGCGGACAGCAGACCUACCCUGCAGCCACCAGAGCCCAGCUACUCAAGGAUCAGCAUUUUCCAAAGGGAGCGCUGAUCAAGAAAGUGUUCAGCUGGCAAAUGUGCUCAGGACACUACUCUUCUUGGAAACUCACAAUGAGGCUAUUCAGUGAUCUGAACAAUCCAACCAUAAGAGAUCAUUAACCUAGUUUAAAUCACAUAGCUAAUCACAGAACCUUUUCAUUACAAAAAUACAGCACGUGCGGAUCUACGACUAUCCAGUAAUAGCCACUUGGGGAAACGCUAGUCCACACUCAUCAUGUUCCAUGUUUUAGCUACAUUUUUGACUUGGGUUGUGAUAGGGUUGCCAGGCAAAUCAUUAUUCAUAUUAAGUA